AUCGCCCAGUAAGCAUCCCAGUCUUUAGAUCAGAGGGAAGUAUCUAGAUGGAUAUUCUCACACCAGGCAGGAGUGAGUUUCCACUGGAGGCUCUCCCUUGUUGGCAGCAGAGCACAACUCUGGCUGAUUGAAGCAGAAAAGGAAUUUGUUAAAGGGCCAUUGUGUAGUUCAUGGAUGGAGGCAUGUGGGGUGAGACCAGACUCACCGGCCACCUGGGCAGGAAGAAGACCAGGGCCAAGGGCUGUCAGGACUGGCCCAGAACAACUCCACACCCACGUGGCUGCACCUAUGCGCACGACAGGACCAUGCAUGCCUCCUGCCCCUGAGAUCCGCCCACUGCUGCUUCUGGAAGAGGUGUGGCAUGACGUACACAGGAAGGACAGAGCCACCAGCUUUCCCGGGGCCAGCAGGCUGCUUGGCUUGUGUUUGCUCGGUCGACUGUCUGGAGCUGGAUCUGGAUACUUCUCAAAGGGGAGGAAGGACUGCAGAUGCUGGGAUGGACACAAGCAGAGUGGCCAGCGGCAGCUGUGUGUGUCUGCUGCAGGAAAGCUGAGAUGUUGAUCUACUCCUGAAAGGGCCCCCAGCAUUGGAUUGGGCUGCUUUCCUUACCUUUUCAGCCAGCACGCGGUUCUCCAGGCCGAAGAGCUCCCUUCUUGUCCUUCCUGCUGUCUGUUGUCUGGAGUGCUGUCAAAGCCAAAAGUGUGCUGAUCUGAAUAUGAUGUUCCUGACCCCUGCAGUCUGGUUGGGACCUGCUUUUCUAUAGAUUUUAGUUUGUUUUUCUUUUUUUUUUUUUUGGUACCAGGGAUCGAACUUGGGACCUUGUGCUUACGAGGCAGGCAGCGGAACCACUGAGCUAAAUCCGGGGCCCUCUAUAGAUCCUAGUACAAAGAGAUCUGCAGCAGGGUGCAUGUUGAGGGAGCAGCCAAACUUUCUGCACUGAUGCAGUGUGAUAACAAGUGGGACCAUGACCCAGGCCUGCUCAGGUGGGCAAAGCACAGGCUCCCCACCAGGAAAAGGGAGAGAUGUUAACGCUGGCUCUUAUCAUCACAUCUGGGAAAAGAGGUCCAGGAAAACAAGGCUUCAUCACAUGGACCUUUGAGCUUUACAGUCAGGCUUCCUGAAUGCUGCAGAUGCCCUGGGAAAAAUGGCAGACUUUCAGUUUGGGUCCUGGUGCAGAGGACACAUGUCCUUUACUAUUUUUCUAGGCAGAUAUGUCCUUUGAGGUUUCGGAUGGAGUGGGAGGUGCAAAUGCAGUGUGGCAUGUUGCUUAUGGUAAAGCUAAGUUGGGUUUCCUCCUGGACAGCCGUCCAGGACCCAAUCUGCCUCAUCCCUGGCAGAGCCCUCCUUGUGACGAUGCUGGACCUCCUCCCGAUUGUGGCUCCUGCUGGCAGAGUUGGAAAAGCAGAUGGGGCUCUGACUGCUCAGGAGGAGCCAUGGACGAGGGGUUCGGGCGGCUUACAGCCUGGCUCCACAGGGAGCACAUCCCGACGCUGCCUGCCACCUGGGUAGUGUGUGCCUGGUAAACAUUUGGCUGUCCCAGGAUGACAAUGAAGCAGAUGCUGACCCUCCACACUGUGUGACACAAGCCACUUCCCAUAGGUGGGUGCACAUGAGACUCGGUGGCCCUGGUGGCUUCCUUGCUGGCUCUCAAGAACCAGGUGUCUGGUUGACUUCUAAAAAGCAGGGGCUGGGUCAGAUGGUGGGGGGAAGACAGGGGACCCAGGAGCUGGCUGGGGACACAGGCCAGCAGAUGACUCCAUUUAUGCAAAAGUACACGAGCGCCACUCCCUUGAGACCAGAGCCAGGCAGUGUGUGAGGAAGACACUCUGGCAGCCAGCCUGCACCCUAACUGGAGCCACAGCUGCACGGUGACAACUAAGCCAAGGUAGCCUGGAAGUUGUGAGUCCUUGGCCCAAACCUGGCAUUCACAUGAGCUCUGGGCUCCUCAACCUUUUGUGACAUAGGUGGCACAGGAGCAGAUGUCACCCCAGAGGGCAUUUCCGAUCUUGGAAGGACCUGUGUCACUGGGGACUCCUCAGACAGCAGCAGAACCCUGUCCCACCAUCUACACUGUCCCGUCUACCCUGUUGUCCCUCUGCAUCGAAGAAGUGGUUCAGCGGGGAUCUGGACAGUCAGCCCUUUGGACAUCUUCCUUGUAGAAAUUCUGCAUCUCCACUACACAUACCACACACAUCUCUACCCUCCCUCCAUGUAUCAGUGUGUACAUGUAUUUAUACAAACAUGUAGGUGACCCCGGUCCCAAGCCCCACAACUGGAGUUGCCACCUGUAGCCGGCUUGACAAUGAUGAUGAUAACAGGGGACGGAUGGACACAUGGAACGGAUGUAGCUCUAGCAGACAGAGGAGCCCAGAACCUCCGGCUCACCUCGCUUUUAUUCACCCAAACAUGGGCACAAGUAAUCAAGAGCCAUGAGCCUUGUGACCUCAGAAGCUAGAAACAGAGUUCUCUGUCCGAAGCACUGAGCUCAGUAACCUUCUUGGGACACAGCGAGGCACUGUCCAAGAGCAGCCUGGCCUUUGUCUGAGGAUUUUGGCUUCCAAACCUUUGCAUGUGCUGCUCUUUGCCUGAACCCCCCGGGGAGAACUUGGUCUUGCCAGUCCACUUGAUGACUUUUCCUCUGCAGAACCAGUGUCUGCAUGCAGGCCACCAAAACAAACACCCCAGCUUGGGGCCCGGAGUAACAGGAGUUUAUUCUGCAGGCGUUGGGUGCAUCUCCCUUCCUCGCUCAAAGACAGCCACCUGCGUAGUGGGUCCUCACCUGCUGGAGAGGGGCAGAAGGACCUCUUUGUCUCCCCUUGUAAGGACACUGAUCCCAAAGGGAGAGCCCCACGCCAGGACCUCUGGCUGUGGUUACCUCCCAGAGGCCCGUCUC
rnacentral:lncRNA from 1 species